rnacentral:rRNA from 1 species
GCUAGGAUGAACGCUAGCGGCAGGCCUAAUACAUGCAAGUCGUACGGGAUCUCCCCUUCGGGGGAGUGAGAGUGGCGCACGGGUGCGUAACGCGUAUGCAACCAACCCUCAUCCGGGGGACAGCCGGUGGAAACGCCGGGUAAUACCCCAUAUCCACUUUGGGAGGCAUCUUCUGAGGUGGAAAGACUUAGGUCGGAGGAGGACGGGCAUGCGUCCCAUUAGCUAGUCGGCGGGGUGACGGCCCACCGAGGCGACGAUGGGUAGGGGAUCUGAGAGGACGGUCCCCCACACUGGUACUGAGACACGGACCAGACUCCUACGGGAGGCAGCAGUAAGGAAUAUUGGGCAAUGGGGGGAACCCUGACCCAGCCAUGCCGCGUGAGGGAAGUAGGCCCUACGGGUCGUGAACCUCUUUUGUCCAGGGACAAGGACGGCGUCGGGAACGUCGUUUGAGGGUACUGGAAGAAUAAGCAUCGGCUAACUCCGUGCCAGCAGCGGC